GAUGAACGCUGGCGGCGUGCCUAAUACAUGCAAGUCGAGCGAACAGAUAAGGAGCUUGCCCCUUUGACGUUAGCGGCGGACGGGUGAGUAACACGAGGGUAACCUACCUAUAAGACUGGGAUAACUUCGGGAAACCGGAGCUAAUAUCGGAUAAUAUUUCGAACCGCAUGGUUCGAUAGUGAACGAUGGUUUUGCUAUCACUUAUAGAUGGACCCGCGCCGUAUUAGCUAGUUGGUAAGGUAACGGCUUACCAAGGCGACGAUACGUAGCCGACCUGAGAGGGUGAUCGGCCACACUGGAACUGAGACACGGUCCAGACUCCUACGGGAGGCAGCAGUAGGGAAUCUUCCGCAAUGGGCGAAAGCCUGACGGAGCAACGCCGCGUGAGUGAUGAAGGUCUUCGGAUCGUAAAACUCUGUUAGUAGGGAAGAACAUACGUGUAAGUAACUGUGCACGUCUUGACGGUACCUAAUCAGAAAGCCACGGCUAACUACGUG
rnacentral:rRNA from 1 species